rnacentral:rRNA from 1 species
AGAGUUUGAUCCUGGCUCAGGACGAACGCUGGCGGGGUGCUUCAUACAUGCAAGUCGAACGAGCCUUCGGGUCAGUGGCGGACGGGUGAGUAAUGCGUAGGUAACCUGCCCUUUACUGGGGGAUAACACUGGGAAACUAGUGCUAAUACCGCAUACGUCUUUGGUUGUAACGCCAGAGAUGAAAGAAGCAAUUUGGUAAAGGAUGGGCCUGCGUCGGAUUAGCUAGUUGGUAGGGUAAUGGCCUACCAAGGCGACGAUCCGUAGUUGGUCUGAGAGGAUGACCAGCCACAGUGGAACUGAGACACGGUCCACACUCCUACGGGAGGCAGCAGUAGGGAAUAUUGCGCAAUGGGCGAAAGCCUGACGCAGCAACCCCGCGUGGAGGAUGAAGUCUCUUGGGAUGUAAACUCCUGUCAGUGGUGAAGAUAAUGACGGUAGCCACAAAGGAAGCAUCGGCUAACUACGUGCCAGCAGCCGCGGUAAGACGUAGGAUGCAAGCGUUGUCCGGAAUUACUGGGCGUAAAGAGUUCGUAGGCGGUUGUUUAAGUCUGAUGUUAAAGACCGGAGCUCAACUCCGACAUGGCAUCGGAAACUGGACAGCUAGAGUGCGGUAGAGGAUGCGGGAAUUCCCGGUGUAGCGGUGAAAUGCGUAGAUAUCGGGAGGAACACCAGUGGCGAAAGCGCGCAUCUGGACCGUAACUGACGCUGAGGAACGAAAGCCAGGGUAGCGAAAGGGAUUAGAUACCCCUGUAGUCCUGGCCGUAAACGAUGGACACUAGGUGUUGGAGGUUUCGACCCCUUCAGUGCCGCAGCUAACGCGAUAAGUGUCCCGCCUGGGGAGUACGACCGCAAGGUUGAAACUCAAAGGAAUUGACGGGGGCCCGCACAAGCGGUGGAACAUGUGGUUUAAUUCGAUGCAACGCGAAGAACCUUACCUGGGCUUGACAUCUACGGAAUCUCUGUGAAAGCAGGGAGUGCCUUCGGGAGCCGUAAGACAGGUGGCGCACGGUUGUCGUCAGCUCGUGUCGUGAGAUGUUGGGUUAAGUCCCGCAACGAGCGCAACCCUCGUGGUCUGUUGUUACAGAGUGAAAGCUGCUGAACCCUCAGGCCAGACUGCCGGUGACAAGCCGGAGGAAGGUGGGGAUGACGUCAAAUCAUCACGCCCCUUAUGUCCAGGGCUACACACGUGUUACAAUGGGGUAGUACAAUGGGCAGCUUGGCAGUAAUGUCCGGCAAAUCCUGAAAAUGCCCCUCAGUUCGGAUCGAGGUCUGCAACUCGACCUCGUGAAGUCGGAAUCGCUAGUAAACGCAGAUCAGCACGCUGCGUUGAAUACGUUCCCGGGCCUUGUACACACCGCCCGUCACACCACGAAAGAGGACAAUGCCCGAAGUCGGUGAGCCAACCCUCUGGGAGGCAGCCGCCGAAGGCAGGGUUCUUGAUUGGGGUGAAGUCGUAACAAGGUAACC